GUUUCCAAUAAUUUGCAUGCACUCAAUUCACAGCCUUAAGAACUUCUUCCUGUACCAGUAACAACCUGUGUAGUUGACAUUGUAGUCAGGACUCAGCAUGGACUUGAGGACCCCUGUUCAGCUCCUUGGCCUCCUGUUGCUCUGGUUUCCAGGUGCCAGAUGUGAUAUCCAGAUGACCCAGUCUCCAUCCUCCCUCUCUGCAUCUCUGGGAGACAGAGUCACCAUCACUUGCAGUGCAAGUCAGGAUAUUCGCAAAUAUUUAAUGUGGUUGCAGCAGAAACCAGGGAAACCUCCUAAACCCCUGAUCUACUAUGCAUCCAAUUUGUAUGCUGGGGUUUCAUCCAGGUUCAGUGGCAGUGGGUCUGGCACAGAUUAUUCUCUCAGCAUCAGUAACCUAGAGGCUGAAGACCCUGCAAUUUACCACUGUGUACAGUAUGAUAAGUAUCCUCCCACAGUGACACAAGUCAUAACAUAA